rnacentral:tRNA from 1 species
GCCCCGGUAGCUCAGUGGAUUAGAGUAGACGGCUUCUAUCCGUUUGGUCGUAGGUUCGAAUCCUACCCGGGGUACCA